GAUAAUUCUGCACCUCUAAGCCGGCUAAUAUUAGCAAGACUACAGUAGCAGCAUAUUUUGCGCACGCAAAUUGAUAAACUACGAGAGUUGAAAUACAAUUGAAUGGAACAUAUCGUGUACGACGACUGCUGGCAGUUAUUGCAGCGUUUUGGACGGAUCUCUGGCGAUGCCAAUGCUCAGUUCACGCUGUUCUGCCAAUGCUGGCACGAGAUGCAGAUGCAACACAUAUACUCAGCACAGACCAACCAGAUUGAGGUGAUUGAGACCACAUUGGCGGCGCUGCAUGUUGCCAAGCGUGUGGCAUGCGGACGACAAACCAAUGGUGAACCUUUUCAAGCGACGCGAGCUCAGCGCAUUGGCGGUCUAUACUUACUUUAUGCAAUUUAUCACAAGCAACCCACAAAACAUUUUGUUAAAAUUGAGGUUUCACCACGCACUUGGGAUUCGCUUGUUGGCUUUAUCGAGCAACUUCGUCUCACGUGCUUUGAGAACCCCGAUACGCAGCAAGUAAGUUUCAUUUUUUGGCAAUUGACACAAGAAAACGCCUUUCUUUUCACGGCUCUUGACUAUUGCCAUGUGUUAGAUGCAUUUGCUGCUUAUGAUAGUUUGGAAGCCAUUCAAGAGGCUAGACAGCAAAAAAGCAGUAAUUACAAUGGACUCCAAAAACACCAAUUGAAGCCAAAUAUAGCUAAUCUCAACGAAGAGCUCCACGGUCUAACGGAAUUGGUGCCCAUUUGUAAACCGCUCUGUCAACUCGAAGAAUCUUACAACACGCAGAUGAUACGCCAUCGCACUUCAUUUGCUCCCACAAAGAUCUUCAAUGAAAUUCAGAAUGUUUUCUUUAAAAUCAACGAACUAGUUCCUUCCGAAGAGAAGCCCAGCACUUCAAGUAUGGCAAAGAGUCAAAUAGAAAAAAGAAAUCAGGUGCGGCAAAAAGCAAUGUAUGGAGGGUCCAAAUCGAAGUUAAAUAACAAUAUGGAUCAGUUAACUGAAGCUUAUAAGGAAGCACAUGAGCGUCGCAUGUCAUCGGCAACAGUUUUUGACCACAGAUUGCCAGACGAUGUGCUCAAGGAUCUGAAAUCUUGAUUUGCCGCUAAAACCGUAUGAUAAACAGAGUUUUAAUUAUGCAAAUAAUAAUAAUAUUUAAUCAAUAGAAUGUAAAUAAAAAUGCACACUAUGUAGUUUGCACACAAUGGAUUCCCCUUUUAAUGUUAUCGAACGGGUUAUCAUCUCAGCAAUGUGCAGAGUUGUCGGCACUACACUAAUUAAGCGUAUUAUUGCGCAUUGAGAAGCUAUUCUUGCCACCAUUCAACUCAAAUUUAAAUAAUUUAAAGGCGCCAAUUGUCUCAUGACAAAUGAUGCGGAUUCAAAAGCCUCUCGUCUCUUACACACAACCCAUUAUGGAAAGAUGCGGCGGAACCGUCUACUUAACGGAAAUUUAUAUGACGCAGCCCAGUAUAAACAGAGUAUAACCUUCACCCUCGUUUCGAUUUUAGUAAACACUUCGAUACUAUUAUAUAUGUACACAUUUGUGCAGCUUAUUUCAACCACUAUUAAUUUAUUACUUUCAGGUGGACAUCAACGUGACAUGCCACGAGCCAAAAAUCAAAAGAGGCAGGUUGAACAGACGAAAGACAAAAUAACUGAUGGAAUGGCAGUGGAACAAUUUAAAUUCAAGAAAAAGGGAUAUCACAUGAACUGCAAAAAAUUUAUAAUGUCAUCUGAUAAUUUGGGGACGUUGAAUUAUGCCAGAAAAACAGAAGAAAAAAGAUAAAUAGUCUCAUGAUACUGCUGGGCGGAGCAAAUAAAAAUAAUAACGCUUACAUGUAGAGACGGCCGAGUGUAACGUACUGUCUUGCUUGGAAAAAAAACAUAUAAGAUCAAGCGCAAAACUAGGAGCAAAAGUCGCAAUCUGGGAGUGGUAUCUAUUCUUCUGGACAUUAAAUGACCAUGAUUAAAUUUUUAAUCACAAAUAGUAAAUAAGUAGCUAAUACGCUGCCAAAUAGCAACAUCUAAACACGCAUCUCACAAGAAUUUUGACAGAGCCGUUCGUCUUCACGAAACGUCCUCACACUUUUAUUGAUCAUGUGGUCUUUGGCAUGCUUUCCGAGGACAGUUAAAGCCCGGAGACCGGUCCCAAAGUCAAAUUUGCAGCAAGCGUAGGCGUAAGUAAUGACAAAUGGAACAAACUAUAAUCUAUUACAUUUUUUCUUUUUGUUUAAUUAUUUUUUGUUUAAUGGAAAAUACAUUAUCAGAUUGCAAAUUAAUUUAUGUUCAAUAAAAAUCGUCCUUUUUGCGUGUACA